rnacentral:rRNA from 1 species
AUACGGAGGGUGCAAGCGUUGUUCGGAAUCACUGGGCGUAAAGGGCGCGCAGGCGGUUUGGUAAGUCAGAUGUGAAAGACCACGGCUCAACCGUGGAAGUGCAUUUGAAACUGUCAGACUUGAGUACUAGAGGGGAAAGUGGAAUUCCCGGUGUAGAGGUGAAAUUCGUAGAUAUCGGGAGGAAUACCGGUGGCGAAGGCGACUUUCUGGCUAGAUACUGACGCUGAGGCGCGAAAGCGUGGGGAGCAAACAGGAUUAGAAACCCCUGUAGUCC